rnacentral:rRNA from 1 species
CUGGCUCAGAGUGAACGCUGGCGGUAGGCCUAACACAUGCAAGUCGAACGGCAGCACAGGAGAGCUUGCUCUCUGGGUGGCGAGUGGCGGACGGGUGAGGAAUACAUCGGAAUCUACUCUGUCGUGGGGGAUAACGU